AUUUUGAGAUUUUUUGCCAUGAGAUUCCGGGAUUUUCCUGUCAGAUCCCAGGAUUUCCCCAUCAGAUCCCCGGGAUCUUCCUGUCAGAUUCUGGGAUUUUCCUGUUGGAUCCCGGGAUUUUGCCAGAAGGGAUUUUUUGGGCCGUUUUUGGCCCCAGCUCCGGAGUUUUCUGAGGUUUCCCGGGGGCUGUCGGGAGCCUCGGCCUCUUCCUGUUCCCCUUUUUUUUCUCUGCUGCUUCCUCAAACGGCCUCUCUGUGAUCCCAGUGUUCCUGUUCUUCCCGGGAUCCUUCCCGGGAUCCUUCCUGGGAUCCAUCCCUGGCCUUCCUGGAAUCUUUUCUGGGAUCCUUCCUGGGAUUCUUCCCUGUCCUUUCUGGGAUCCUUCCCGGGACCCAUCCCUGUCCUUCCUGGGAUCCUUUCAGGGAUCCUUUCAGGGAUCCUUUCAGGGAUCUUUUCUGAGAUUCUCCCUGGGAUCCAUCCCUGUCCUUCUCUGGAUCCUUUCCAGGAUUCUUUCCAGGAUUCUUCCUGGGAUCCUUCCUGGGAUCCCUCCCUAUUAUUUUUGGGAUCCUUUCCCGGAUCCUUCCUGGAUUCAUCCUCACCCUUCCCAGGAUCCAUCCCACUCCUUUCCAGGAUCCAUCCCUGUUUUUCCUGUGAUCCUUCCUGGGAUCCAUCCCUGUUUUCCCUGGGAUCCUUCCUGGGAUCCAUCCCUGUUUUUCAUGGGAUCCAUCCCAGGAUCUUUCCCAGCAGCCAUCCCCAUCUUUUCUGGGAUCCAUCCCUGUUCUUUCUGGGAUCCUUCCUGGAUUCAUCCCCGCCUUUCUCAAGAUCCAUCCCCCUCCUUUCCAGGAUCCAUCCCUGUCCUUCCCAAGAUCCAUCUCCCUUCAUUCCGAGAUCCUUCCUGGGAUCCAUCCCCAUCCUUUCCGGGAUCCUUCCCAGGAUCCUUCCUGGGAUCCAUCCCCAUCCUUCCCAGGAUCCUUCCUGGGAUCCAUCCCUGGGGAAAACUCAGCCAAACCAGCGGGAUUUUUCCAUGGGAAAACCUCCUUUUAUCCCUGCGGGAUUUUCCUGCCGGUUAUCCCAGGUUUUACCCCUCCCGGUGCAUAUCCCACCCGGAGAAUUCCCAGAUUUCCAACUUCAUCCACCAGGGAAAAAGCGCAGAGGAUUCCCACACUGCAUUCCCAGCCCUUGGAAAAGCUCGAGGAUAUCCCUGAGGCCGGGAUUUGCAUCCUUCUCCCGGGAUUUCUCACCUGCAGCACCUCCGAGAUUCCCAAAUCCUUCCCGAUUCCUGGUCAGACAUUCCCGGGAUUUCCCUUUGGGACAUUCCCAGCCGCUUCCAACAGGAACUUUCCCAAUCCCUGACCGAGGGGUCAGAACAUUCCCUGGAUAUCCCAAUCCCAGUGCUCCGGAUCCCAAGGGAAUCCCUGGAUCCACCAAAACCCGACAGAUCCACAACAUUCCCAAUUCCCUGCUCCGGGAACCGCCCCAGCGCCGGGAAAACUUGGAUUCCAGCAGAUCCCAGGGAAUUCCCGAUCCUUGGCUCUCAUAUUCCCAAAUUCCCGAGCUUCCCAACGCCGCCUCCACCAUCGCCCCGGCGGAGCUCAUCCCGGUUUUCCCACCUGGCCGGGAUGUUGGGAAUGGGAUUCCCUCGGCUUUUCCCGGCUUUUCCCGAGGCUGGGAAGCGACUCUCACCUUCCCGCUGGAUCCCGGUGGAUCCCGGUGGGAUCGGAUCCCGCGCGUGCCGGAAUCACUUCCAGAAAACUCUUCCCGGGAUGAAAAAGUGGGAAGCAGGAAAAACUCCGGGAUCCCCUCACCUGCACCCCCCCCCCCCCCCCCCCCCCCCCCCCCCCCCCCCCCCCCCCCCCCCCCCCCCCCCCCCCCCCCCCCCCCCCCCCCCCCCC
rnacentral:lncRNA from 1 species